UUCCGGUUGAUCCUGCCGGAGGUUACUGCUAUCGAGGUUCGACUAAGCCAUGCGAGUCGAAUGUAGCAAUACAUGGCGAACUGCUCAGUAACACGUGGACAACCUGCCCUUAGGACGGGGAUAAACCCGGGAAACUGGGUAUAAUACCCGAUAGGUCUCGAUUGCUGGAAUGCAUCGAGAUUUAAAGCUCCGGCGCCUAAGGAUGGGUCUGCGGCCUAUCAGGUAGUAGUGGGUGUAGCGUACCUACUAGCCUACGACGGGUACGGGUUGUGAGAGCAAGAGCCCGGAGAUGGAUUCUGAGACACGAAUCCAGGCCCUACGGGGUGCAGCAGGCGCGAAAACUUUACAAUGCUGGCAACAGCGAUAAGGGAACCUCGAGUGCCAGGUUACAAAUCUGGCUGUCGAGAUGCCUAAAAAGCAUUUCAUAGCAAGGGCCGGGCAAGACCGGUGCCAGCCGCCGCGGUAACACCGGCGGCUCGAGUGGUAACCGUUAUUAUUGGGUCUAAAGGGUCUGUAGCCGGCCGGAUAAGUCUCUUGAGAAAUCUGGCAGCUUAACUGUCAGGCUUUCAGGAGAUACUGUCUGGCUCGAGGCCGGGAGAGGUGAGAGGUACUUCAGGGGUAGGGGUGAAAUCUUGUAAUCCUUGAAGGACCACCAGUGGCGAAGGCGUCUCACCAGAACGGACCUGACGGCAAGGGACGAAAGCUAGGGGCACGAACCGGAUUAGAUACCCGGGUAGUCCUAGCCGUAAACGAUACUCGCUAGGUGUCGGCCACGGUGCGACCGUUGU
rnacentral:rRNA from 1 species